UUUACCUGUAAGAAAAUCAUCAAAAUGAAAUGGUUGUUUGUAGUAGCGCUCGUAGCAGCUGUAUGGAUGGUAGAAGCUCAACCUCAGUGUCGUGACGACCACGAAUGUGGAGGUGUGAUUCUAUGUCAACCUCACGAAGAACAUUUCUGUGAUGUACGUGAUGGAAGGUGUGCAUGUAGAGACCGACAUUUUGUAGGAAAACGACAACAACACCCUUGUCGAGACGAUGGUGAAUGUGAUCAUGGCCAAUGUAAUGCUAACUCAGAAGGUUUCUGCGACGAGCAUGGGAUUUGUGGCUGUCGAGACCUACCUCAUUGUGGAGAUAAUCGUGACUGCGGGCAACUGCAGUGUGCACCUCAUGAAGAAGCUUUCUGUGACGCGCAGCAUGGCUGCCAUUGUAGAGACUUGCCGGCAAAUAAUUGUCGAGACGAUCGUGAAUGUGACCAUCUAGCACACUGUGGUAAUAACCAAGAACCUUCCUGUGACCAGCAGGGAACCUGUAUUUGUAGAGACCGACCUGUCGGUUAACGACAGUGCUACCAUUGGGCAACACCAGAAUGUCAACAAGGUCAUUGUCAUCAUCUGUGAAAAUAAACUUUAUAAUUUUUAUUCGACA